GCCGGAUAUAUGCUGUUUCCCUCGAAAUCGGUGCUUACCGGGGAAGGUCCCCGUGAGCAAUUUGACCAAGGAGAUGGCAAUGGCUGUCGGUACAGUAAAGUUUUUCAAUACCCAAAAAGGCUUCGGCUUCAUCGCUCCGGACGGCGGCGGCAAGGAUGUGUUCGUUCACAUUUCCGCCGUGGAACGUUCGGGCAUGUCCUCGCUGAAUGACGGCCAGAAGGUUUCGUUCGAACUCGAACGUGAUCG
rnacentral:sRNA from 1 species